GACGACCGGCGCACGGGUGCGUAACGCGUAUAGAACCUACCUUAUAGUAAGGGAUAGCCCAGAGAAAUUUGGAUUAAUACCUUAUAGUAUCAUAAAUCAGCAUUGAUUAAUGAUUAAAGAUUUAUCGCUAUAGGAUGGCUAUGCGUUCUAUUAGCUAGUUGGUAUGGUAACGGCAUACCAAGGCUACGAUAGAUAGGGGUCCUGAGAGGGAGAUCCCCCACACUGGUACUGAGACACGGACCAGACUCCUACGGGAGGCAGCAGUGAGGAAUAUUGGACAAUGGAGGCAACUCUGAUCCAGCCAUGCCGCGUGUAGGAAGACUGCCCUAUGGGUUGUAAACUACUUUUAUAGAGGAAGAAACCGCUCUACGUGUAGAGCUCUGACGGUACUCUACGAAUAAGGAUCGGCUAACUCCGUGCCAGCAGCCGCGGUAAUACGGAGGAUCCAAGCGUUAUCCGGAAUCAUUGGGUUUAAAGGGUCCGUAGGCGGGUUUGUAAGUCAGUGGUGAAAGUUUUCGGCUCAACCGGAAAAUUGCCAUUGAUACUGCAAGUCUUGAAUCAUUAUGAAGUGGUUAGAAUAAGUAGUGUAGCGGUGAAAUGCAUAGAUAUUACUUAGAAUACCGAUUGCGAAGGCAGAUCACUAAUAAUGUAUUGACGCUAAGGGACGAAAGCGUGGGUAGCGAACAGGAUUAGAUACCCUGGUAGUCCACGCCGUAAACGAUGGUUACUAGCUGUUCGGUUUUCGGACUGAGUGGCUAAGCGAAAGUGAUAAGUAACCCACCUGGGGAGUACGUUCGCAAGAAUGAAACUCAAAGGAAUUGACGGGGGCCCGCACAAGCGGUGGAGCAUGUGGUUUAAUUCGAUGAUACGCGAGGAACCUUACCAGGGCUUAAAUGUAGUCUGACAGGACCAGAGAUGGUUUUUUCUUCGGACA
rnacentral:rRNA from 1 species